CGCGUAGGCGGGCCUUCAAGUCGGUUGUGAAAACUUCGAGCUUAACUCGGAGCCUGCAUCCGAUACUGUUGGUCUUGAGUACAGGAGAGGAAAGUGGAAUUCCAGGUGUAGCGGUGAAAUGCGUAGAUAUCUGGAAGAACACCAGUAGCGAAGGCGGCUUUCUGGACUGAUACUGACGCUAAAGCGCGAAGGCUUGGGGAGCAAACA
rnacentral:rRNA from 1 species